rnacentral:lncRNA from 1 species
CUGGAAGAAGGGUGGUGUAUUUUAGCCCAGAAUUGCUCAAUAAAAUCGAUGAAGUAGCAGCCUCUUGAGAAAUCUCAGGAUCGUUAACAAGAUUUCCCAACCGUCACGUUUCUGUCAUCCGCGCCAGAUCUUACACCCUCCUGUAUUUUGCUUCUCAUAUGUAUUUUGCAGCUUAUGUUCAAACUAUAAAAUAAACAUAACACAAUUCAAACUAUUAAAUUUUGCUUCGUUUCUCAUGGUAUUAAAUUAAGGGUUAAAUAUCAUAUUGCCCCUUAUCGAUGACGUCCCUAUGGCUUUUAGCCCCCUAAAGUCAGGGGGGAGAGCUGCCUCCAUCAAAAGGCUGGGGGGAAAUUGGUGCCAAAAAGCCACGUUAAGGUAGUGGCUGGCAGCUCAGCUCUCCCCCCUGACUUUAGGGGGUUAAACGCGAGGGGGACCCCUAUCGAUAGGGGGAAAUUGGUGCCAAAAAAUCACGUUGAGGUAGUGGGCAGCUCUUCCCCCUGACUUUAGAAAUUGGUGCCAAAAAACCACGUUGAGGUAGUGGGCAGCUCUUCCCCCUGACUUUAGGGGGCUAAAAGUCAUAGGGACGCCAUCGAUAAGGGGCAAUUUGAUACUUAACCCUUAAAUUAAUUAAGUCGUGAUUAUCCUUUCUCAAACCACCCUUCUGCCCCCAACCACUUCUAAUUUCGAAACUAAUUAAUGAAUAAUGAGUAAAGCAAGAUAAAAGGGUGGGGUGCUCACAGCCCUACUUCUAUGAUUAAUGUCGUUGCUACCACAACCAGCACAGCAACAACAAAUGAGACUAAAAGUUUCAAACCCAAAAUGAAUGAAACGAACGAAAGUUCUUACCGAUUCUAAAGUUUCAUUUGGAUUUGAAGCUUGCUUCGUUGUUUGAACAAAUGCGACGUUCGAAAGACCAAGAAAGUGCGAAUAGAAAUGUCUGCAAAAAGAAUAAUCGCCGAACUGGGAUUAACCACAAGAAAAAUUUUAAUUCUCGAAUAUGAUAUGCAUCGUCGCCCAACAAAACAAUGAACGCUCAAUGAAACAAAAGUCGAAAGGAACUUGAAACAAAAUUGAAUUCCCUAUAGCAAACAAUAUUUGGCAGGACGAAAAUCCCCAAAACAAUUCGAACAAAAUCAAAAACCCUAU